AUUGAACGCUGGCGGCAGGCCUAACACAUGCAAGUCGAGCGGAUGAGGGAAGCUUGCUUCCUGAUUUAGCGGCGGACGGGUGAGUAAUGCCUAGGAACCUGCCUAUUAGUGGGGGAUAACGUUCCGAAAGGAACGCUAAUACCGCAUACGUCCUACGGGAGAAAGUGGGGGAUCUUCGGACCUCACGCUAAUAGAUGAGCCUAGGUCGGAUUAGCUAGUUGGUGAGGUAACGGCUCACCAAGGCGACGAUCCGUAGCUGGUCUGAGAGGAUGAUCAGCCACACUGGAACUGAGACACGGUCCAGACUCCUACGGGAGGCAGCAGUGGGGAAUAUUGGACAAUGGGCGAAAGCCUGAUCCAGCCAUGCCGCGUGUGUGAAGAAGGUCUUCGGAUUGUAAAGCACUUUAAGUUGGGAGGAAGGGCUGUAAGCUAAUAUCUUGCAGCUUUGACGUUACCAACAGAAUAAGCACCGGCUAACUCUGUGCCAGCCGCCGCGGUAAAAC
rnacentral:rRNA from 1 species